AAAGCGUAAUAGCUCACUGGUCGAGUCGGCCUGCGCGGAAGAUUUAACGGGGCUAAGCUAUACACCGAAGCUGCGGCAAUGUGCUUAUGCACAUUGGGUAGGGGAGCGUUCUGUAAGCCGUUGAAGGUGCAUUGUAAAGUGUGCUGGAGGUAUCAGAAGUGCGAAUGCUGACAUGAGUAACGACAAAGGGAGUGAAAAACUCCCUC
rnacentral:rRNA from 1 species